GUCUCUGUGGCGCAAUUGGUUAGCGCGUUCGGCUGUUAACCGAAAGGUUGCUGGUUCAAGCCCAGCCAGGA
rnacentral:tRNA from 1 species